rnacentral:rRNA from 1 species
GACGAACGCUGGCGGCGUGCCUAAUACAUGCAAGUUGAGCGCUGAAGGUUGGUACUUGUACCGACUGGAUGAGCAGCGAACGGGUGAGUAACGCGUGGGGAAUCUGCCUUUGAGCGGGGGACAACAUUUGGAAACGAAUGCUAAUACCGCAUAAAAACUUUAAACACAAGUUUUAAGUUUGAAAGAUGCAAUUGCAUCACUCAAAGAUGAUCCCGCGUUGUAUUAGCUAGUUGGUGAGGUAAAGGCUCACCAAGGCGAUGAUACAUAGCCGACCUGAGAGGGUGAUCGGCCACAUUGGGACUGAGACACGGCCCAAACUCCUACGGGAGGCAGCAGUAGGGAAUCUUCGGACAUGGACGAAAGUCUGACCGAGCAACGCCGCGUGAGUGAAGAAGGUUUUCGGAUCGUAAAACUCUGUUGGUAGAGAAGAACGUUGGUGAGAGUGGAAAGCUCAUCAAGUGACGGUAACUAACCAGAAAGGGACGGCUAACUACGUG